CAUCAUUUCCGGGUCGGGUGUCUGUCUGCACAGAGUGGCGACAGAGUGCUCCGUGCCCCGUCCCCCUUUUUGCUCUUGGGUCCUCUCAACCGGUGUUCCUGUCCUUGUCUUCCUUCUGAUCCGUCAUCCACUACACUUGCACUCAAUGACCUGCUCCUGGUUUAUCCCCCCUGCAAACCCCACAUAUAUACUUUUCGGUUUGGCUGCCAAUCUGGCGUUCGCGGCGCAUUCACAGUUGUGCAACAGGUAAUGUAGUGUGCUUAAUUGUUUGUUACCUAAAGGCCUUGGUUGUGUUGGGAUGGCCAUUACAGCGUGUAUAGUAUUUUGCAG
ensembl:lncRNA